rnacentral:lncRNA from 1 species
GCACUAUAGAUGGCCACUAUGAAUUCUUAGUCAUGCCAUUUGGUUUAACUAACGCUCCUUCUACUUUUUAGGCAGCAAUGAAUGAUCUUCUCAGACCAUACCUCCGCCGGUUUGUCUUAGUUUUUUUUAUGAUAUUUUGAUUUAUAGUCCAAGUUUGCAGGACCAUAUUGCUCACCUACAAACUAUAUUGGAAGUGCUACACACUCAACAAUUUUUUGCCAAGCUUUCCAAAUGCAGUUUCGCAACCGCGGAAGUUAGUUACUUGGGUCACAUUAUUUCUGCUCAGGGAGUCCAACCAGACCCAGAGAAGGUCAAAGCCAUACACGAUUGGCCUCAACCACGAUCACUCACGGAAUUACGGGGUUUCCUCGGCCUCAUUGGAUUUUACAGGAAAUUCAUAAAUCACUACGCCACUCUCGCCGCUCCUCUCACCGACUUAUUACAACACCACAAAUUUACAUGGACUGAGCUCGCGCAACAAGCAUUCAAAAAAUUAAAAUUACAGAUGAAGACAAUGCCUACACUACACCUUCCAGAUUUUAAGCUGCCUUUGUGCUCGAAACAGAUGCCUCAGCAGUUGUCAUAGGAGCCGUCCUUAGCCAAUCAGGACAACCACUGGCUUUUUUCAGCAAAAAGAUGAAUCCCAAGCUCCAAGCUUCCUCCGUAUAUGUUCAGGAGAUGUAUGCCAUAACAGAAUCAGUAAAAAAAUGGCGUCAAUACCUCAUAGGACAACAUUUCAGAAUCAUAACAGAUCAAAAGAGCCUAAACACACUCCUCUCCCAAACCAUUCAAACCCCAGAACAACAGAAAUGGACUGAUAAAUUGCAGGGAUAUGAUUUUCAAAUUAUUUACCAACCUGGGAAGGAAAAUGUCGUGGUUGAUGCUCUUUCAAGGCAAGGUCAGGAUUCCACUCUCAUACUGCUUGCAGUGUCGUCCCCAAUCCCGCAACUUAUUCAAGAACUCCAAACUUUUUUGCCACCACAAAAGGCCAGGAAGUGGUCCACGCUUGCACAAGCAGUCAACAACAGCCAGACCUGUUCUCCACUAGCCACAGUUUACUCUUUUUUCGCCAUCAAAUAUUCGUGCCAGCAUCAACUGAUUUCCGUCAGCGCAUUAUGACAG